GACGAACGCUGGCGGCGUGCCUAAUACAUGCAAGUAGAACGCUGAAGAGAGGAGCUUGCUCUUCUUGGAUGAGUUGCGAACGGGUGAGUAACGCGUAGGUAACCUGCCUUGUAGCGGGGGAUAACUAUUGGAAACGAUAGCUAAUACCGCAUAACAAUGGAUGACACAUGUCAUUUAUUUGAAAGGGGCAAUUGCUCCACUACAAGAUGGACCUGCGUUGUAUUAGCUAGUAGGUGAGGUAACGGCUCACCUAGGCGACGAUACAUAGCCGACCUGAGAGGGUGAUCGGCCACACUGGGACUGAGACACGGCCCAGACUCCUACGGGAGGCAGCAGUAGGGAAUCUUCGGCAAUGGGGGCAACCCUGACCGAGCAACGCCGCGUGAGUGAAGAAGGUUUUCGGAUCGUAAAGCUCUGUUGUAAGUCAAGAACGAGUGUGAGAGUGGAAAGUUCACACUGUGACGGUAGCUUACCAGAAAGGGACGGCUAACUACGUGCCAGCAGCCGCGGUAAUACGUAGGUCCCGAGCGUUGUCCGGAUUUAUUGGGCGUAAAGCGAGCGCAGGCGGUUUGAUAAGUCUGAAGUUAAGGCUGUGGCUCAACCAUAGUUCGCUUUGGAAACUGUCAAACUUGAGUGCAGAAGGGGAGAGUGGAAUUCCAUGUGUAGCGGUGAAAUGCGUAGAUAUAUGGAGGAACACCGGUGGCGAAAGCGGCUCUCUGGUCUGUAACUGACGCUGAGGCUCGAAAGCGUGGGGAGCGAACAGGAUUAGAUACCCUGGUAGUCCACGCCGUAAACGAUGAGUGCUAGGUGUUGGAUCCUUUCCGGGAUUCAGUGCCGCAGCUAACGCAUUAAGCACUCCGCCUGGGGAGUACGACCGCAAGGUUGAAACUCAAAGGAAUUGACGGGGGCCCGCACAAGCGGUGGAGCAUGUGGUUUAAUUCGAAGCAACGCGAAGAACCUUACCAGGUCUUGACAUCCCGAUGCUAUUUCUAGAGAUAGAAAGUUACUUCGGUACAUCGGUGACAGGUGGUGCAUGGUUGUCGUCAGCUCGUGUCGUGAGAUGUUGGGUUAAGUCCCGCAACGAGCGCAACCCCUAUUGUUAGUUGCCAUCAUUCAGUUGGGCACUCUAGCGAGACUGCCGGUAAUAAACCGGAGGAGGGUGGGGAUGACGUCAAAUCAUCAUGCCCCUUAUGACCUGGGCUACACACGUGCUACAAUGGUUGGUACAACGAGUUGCGAGUCGGUGACGGCAAGCUAAUCUCUUAAAGCCAAUCUCAGUUCGGAUUGUAGGCUGCAACUCGCCUACAUGAAGUCGGAAUCGCUAGUAAUCGCGGAUCAGCACGCCGCGGUGAAUACGUUCCCGGGCCU
rnacentral:rRNA from 1 species